GUCUCUGAGGAUGAUCAAAACAUAAUAACUUUCGUUCUUCUGAGUUAUCUAUGCGGAAAAUAUUUGGAGACCUGAACUGAAGAGAC